rnacentral:rRNA from 1 species
UGGGGAAUUUUGGACAAUGGGCGAAAGCCUGAUCCAGCAAUGCCGCGUGUGUGAAGAAGGCCUUCGGGUUGUAAAGCACUUUUGUCCGGAAAGAAAUCCUUGGCUCUAAUACAGUCGGGGGAUGACGGUACCGGAAGAAUAAGCACCGGCUAACUACGUGCCAGCAGCCGCGGUAAUACGUAGGGUGCAAGCGUUAAUCGGAAUUACUGGGCGUAAAGCGUGCGCAGGCGGUUUGCUAAGACCGAUGUGAAAUCCCCGGGCUCAACCUGGGAACUGCAUUGGUGACUGGCAGGCUAGAGUAUGGCAGAGGGGGGUUAGAAUUCCACGUGUANCNNUGUGCGUAGAGAUGUGGAGGAAUACCGAUGGCGAAGGCAGCCCCCUGGGCCAAUACUGACGCUCAUGCACGAAAGCGUGGGGAGCAAACAGGAUUAGAUACCCUGGUAGUCCACGCCCUAAACGAUGUCAACUAGUUGUUGGGGAUUCAUUUCCUUAGUAACGUA